ACAGUGGACGCGAGCAUCUGUGGCCAAGUUUUUAAGGGCGCACGGUGGAUGCCUUGGCACCAGGAACCGAUGAAGGACGUGGGAGGCCACGAUAGGCCCCGGGGAGUCGUCAACCAGGCUUUGAUCCGGGGGUGUCCGAAUGGGGAAACCCGGCAGUCGUCAUGGGCUGUCACCCGCUGCUGAACACAUAGGCAGUGUGGAGGGAACGCGGGGAAGUGAAACAUCUCAGUACCCGCAGGAAGAGAAAACAACCGUGAUUCCGGGAGUAGUGGCGAGCGAAACCGGAUGAGGCCAAACCGUAUACGUGUGAGACCCGGCAGGGGUUGCGUGUGCGGGGUUGUGGGAUCUCUCUUUUACGGUCUGCCGGCCGUGAGACGAGUCAGAAACCGUUGAUGUAGGCGAAGGACAUGCGAAAGGUCCGGCGUAGAGGGUAAGACCCCCGUAGUCGAAACGUCAACGGCUCGUUUGAGAGACACCCAAGUAGCACGGGGCCCGAGAAAUCCCGUGUGAAUCUGGCGGGACCACCCGCUAAGCCUAAAUAUUCCCUGGUGACCGAUAGCGGAUAGUACCGUGAGGGAAUGGUGAAAAGUACCGCGGGAGCGGAGUGAAAUAGUACCUGAAACCGUGUGCCUACAAGCCGUGGGAGCGUCGGACAUCAAGCUUGCUUGGUGUCUCGUGACUGCGUGCCUUUUGAAGAAUGAGCCUGCGAGUUUGCGGUGUGUUGCGAGGUUAACCCGAGUGGGGAAGCCGUAGCGAAAGCGAGUCCGAAUAGGGCGUUUUUAGUAGCACGCUCAAGACCCGAAGCGGAGUGAUCUAGCCAUGGGCAGGUUGAAGCGGCUGUAAGAGGUCGUGGAGGACCGAACCCACCAGGGUUGAAAACCUGGGGGAUGACCUGUGGUUAGGG
rnacentral:rRNA from 1 species